rnacentral:rRNA from 1 species
AACGAACGCUGGCGGCAUGCCUAACACAUGCAAGUCGAACGAGACCUUCGGGUCUAGUGGCGCACGGGUGCGUAACGCGUGGGAACCUGCCCUUAGGUUCGGAAUAACUCCCCGAAAGGGGUGCUAAUACCGGAUAAUGUCUUCGGACCAAAGAUUUAUCGCCUUUGGAUGGGCCCGCGUUGGAUUAGCUAGUUGGUAGGGUAAAAGCCUACCAAGGCGACGAUCCAUAGCUGGUCUGAGAGGAUGAUCAGCCACACUGGGACUGAGACACGGCCCAGACUCCUACGGGAGGCAGCAGUGGGGAAUAUUGGACAAUGGGCGAAAGCCUGAUCCAGCAAUGCCGCGUGAGUGAUGAAGGCCUUAGGGUUGUAAAGCUCUUUUAACCGGGAUGAUAAUGACAGUACCGGGAGAAUAAGCGCCGGCUAACUACGUG